rnacentral:misc_RNA from 1 species
UUUUCAUGGAGGAUACUUCUAAGCCAUAACCACUCUGCCGCUGUUGAUAGACAUGAAACUCUAAAGGCAAUGAAGUCAAAUUCUGCAGUAUAUAAGGAGGAGAACUCCCGGUAUCCAGAUUUUCACUUCUCUGAGAAUUUAAGAAUGAAGGGAUUUCAGAAUGAGCAGCCAUCUGCGCCAGAUCCCCUGCAUUUUUUAUCAUCUCGAUUGUCCUAGAAACAACCUCAAUAAGGGACUCGGUAAGAUUCAAGUUAAGUUGAGUUGUCGACUUGAUAUGAAGAUUUCUAGUCACAUCACUACUCAGAAGGGAACUGUCAUCAUGCCUUUUUAUACUUAGCUGGAUUUCCCAGGGCUCUAGGAAAGGCUCCCACGAGACCAUGUCAAUGUUAUUAUAGUUCACUUCGACUUCACACUUCACCAAACCCUCCAUUUCAUUUCCAGCUAUAUUUGAGUGAAGAAGCAAGUUUGUCAUAAGUAACUCCAGCAAAGGUCCACUUG